rnacentral:rRNA from 1 species
GACGUAGUUUGAUCAGUGGCUACAGAACGACGCUGGCGGCAGGCUUAACACAUGCAAGUCGAACGCCCCGCGAGGGGAGUGGCGCACGGGUGAGUAACGCGUGGGAAUAUGCCCUUUAGUGCGGAACAACGUCGGGAAACUGACGCUAAUACCGCAUAAUGUCUACGGACCAAAGAUUUAUCGCUAAAGGAGUAGCCCGCGUCUGAUUAGCUAGUUGGUGAGGUAACGGCUCACCAAGGCUACGAUCAGUAGCUGGUCUGAGAGGAUGAUCAGCCACACUGGGACUGAGACACGGCCCAGACUCCUACGGGAGGCAGCAGUGAGGAAUAUUGGACAAUGGGGGAAACCCUGAUCCAGCCAUGCCGCGUGAGUGAUGAAGGCCUUCGGGUUGUAAAGCUCUUUCGGGUAGGACGAUGAUGACGGUACUACCAGAAGAAGCCCCGGCUAACUCCGUG